rnacentral:rRNA from 1 species
UACGAAGGGGCUAGCGUUGCUCGGAAUCACUGGGCGUAAAGCGCACGUAGGCGGACUCUUAAGUCGGGGGUGAAAAUCCUGGAGCUCAACUCCAGAACUGCCUUCGAUACUGAGAGUCUUUGAGUCCGGGAGAGGUGAGUGGAACUGCGAGUGUAGAGGUGAAAUUCGUAGAUAUUCGCAAGAACACCAGUGGCGAAGGCG